GGAGCAACACCAAAAAGCACCACGAAACCCCUCGCGAACCCUCAUUACCAACGACUCGAAAUCGUUCGGUCGGCUUUUAAACCGGCCCGUGGGUUCGAAUCCCACCGCUUCU
rnacentral:tRNA from 1 species